UGAUGGUUGUAUUAUGGUCGAAAGUUUUUUUUACCGAACGGUAUUAGUGUGUGGAUCAAAGCUGAAGGUGGAAAUAAUUUUGUCGUGGAAUACAAAUGUGAAUUCGAUAUACGUAUUAUGCUUGAGGAGAUGUAUUGCACUCGUAUUCCAUAUCCACUUGAUGUCAGUGAGCGUGUAACACCUACCUACCUUAGCUACGCUCCUACACACUGUCUCAUCGCUCAUUACUUAUGAUGUCUGUGCGUAAUUUUUAUUGAUGUUUUUAUGGUGAGAGUAAAGGUUCUAAAGCUGCAGGCUUUGGCCAAUAGGAGACGAAUUGUGUUCCAUCGAGACAACACCAGUCUCCACACACAGAUAGUGAACUGCCAGAUGCUUUGGGAGCUUGGCUUGGAAGUUCUAAAGUAUCCAACAAAUAUUUGGAUAGAUACACAUUUCUCAAAUAAUAUUGUUUCACUUAUAAAUAGAUACAAAUAUCCAUUCUUAUGUCCAUACACAUUCAUUUUCUAAAAAUCUUUAAAUAGUAUUUUAUCCCCCUCUUAUGCCAACAUUGAAAAUUACAAUUUAUUGGGUCAAUAUUUUAAACAGCAUAAUAUUUAUUCUAUAUCAAGCUUUCUCC
rnacentral:lncRNA from 1 species